rnacentral:rRNA from 1 species
AGAGUUUGAUCCUGGCUCAGAUUGAACGCUGGCGGCAUGCCUUACACAUGCAAGUCGAACGGCAGCACGGAGCUUGCUCUGGUGGCGAGUGGCGAACGGGUGAGUAAUAUAUCGGAACGUACCCUGGAGUGGGGGAUAACGUAGCGAAAGUUACGCUAAUACCGCAUACGAUCUACGGAUGAAAGUGGGGGAUCGCAAGACCUCAUGCUCGUGGAGCGGCCGAUAUCUGAUUAGCUAGUUGGUAGGGUAAAAGCCUACCAAGGCAUCGAUCAGUAGCUGGUCUGAGAGGACGACCAGCCACACCGGAACUGAGACACGGUCCAGACUCCUACGGGAGGCAGCAGUGGGGAAUUUUGGACAAUGGGCGAAAGCCUGAUCCAGCAAUGCCGCGUGAGUGAAGAAGGCCUUCGGGUUGUAAAGCUCUUUUGUCAGGGAAGAAACGGUGAGAGCUAAUAUCUCUUGCUAAUGACGGUACCUGAAGAAUAAGCACCGGCUAACUACGUGCCAGCAGCCGCGGUAAUACGUAGGGUGCAAGCGUUGUCCGGAUUUAUUGGGCGUAAAGCGAGUGCAGGGCGGUUCAAUAAGUCUGAUGUGAAAGCCUUUCGGCUCAACCGGAGAAUUGCAUCAGAAACUGUUGAACUUGAGUGCAGAAGAGGAGAGUGGAACUCCAUGUGUAGGCGGUGGAAUGCGUAGAUAUAUGGAAGAACACCAGUGGCGAAGGCGGCUCUCUGGUCUGCAACUGACGCUGAGGCUCGAAAGCAUGGGUAGCGAACAGGAUUAGAUACCCUGGUAGUCCAUGCCGUAAACGAUGAGUGCUAAGUGUUGGGAGGUUUCCGCCUCUCAGUGCUGCAGCUAACGCAUUAAGCACUCCGCCUGGGGGAGUACGACCGCAAGGUUGAAACUCAAAGGAAUUGACGGGGGCCCGCACAAGCGGUGGAGCAUGUGGUUUAAUUCGAAGCAACGCGAAGAACCUUACCAGGUCUUGACAUCCAGUGCAAACCUAAGAGAUUAGGUGUUCCCUUCGGGGACGCUGAGACAGGUGGUGCAUGGCUGUCGUCAGCUCGUGUCGUGAGAUGUUGGGUUAAGUCCCGCAACGAGCGCAACCCUUGUCAUUAGUUGCCAUCAUUAAGUUGGGCACUCUAAUGAGACUGCCGGUGACAAACCGGAGGAAGGUGGGGAUGACGUCAAGUCAUCAUGCCCCUUAUGACCUGGGCUACACACGUGCUACAAUGGACGGUACAACGAGAAGCGAACCUGCGAAGGCAAGCGGAUCUCUUAAAGCCGUUCUCAGUUCGGACUGUAGGCUGCAACUCGCCUACACGAAGCUGGAAUCGCUAGUAAUCGCGGAUCAGCACGCCGCGGUGAAUACGUUCCCGGGCCUUGUACACACCGCCCGUCACACCAUGAGAGUCUGUAACACCCAAAGCCGGUGGGAUAACCUUUAUAGGAGUCAGCCGUCUAAGGUAGGACAGAUGAUUAGGGUGAAGUCGUAACAAGGUAGCCGU